AGGUUAAGUAGCGUGAGUUAGUACAUUAAGCUGUAAAGUUAGUCUGUAAGUCUAGCUUU
rnacentral:tRNA from 1 species